CAUUGUUUCCCAUGACCCUUCCAGGACCUGUCUAACUCUCUCCCCCCCCCACAGCCGCCCCCCCGCCGGAGGAUCCCCCCCCGCCCCCUCCCCCCGCGCCCCCGGAGCCCCCCCAGCCGGAGCCGCCCCCUCCCCCCGCAGCCCCGCCGGGGUCCCCUCCCGGUACCGGGACCGGGGCCGGGACCGGGGGGUCCCCGAGCCCCCCCCGGGGGUCCCCGGAGCCGCCGGAGCCGCCGGAGCCGCCGGAGCCGCCGGAGCGGCCGCUGCACCUGGCGCAGAAACAGGGAACGGCCGCCGUGUGCGGGGACACCAGCGACGAGGAGGAGAGCGGGGGAGAGGGGAUAUUCCGGGAGAGGUUUGGGCGGAUUUUGGGGUGCUGACCCCCCGAAUCUCCCCAGCUGGCGCUGCAGACGGGCCGGGAGCCGCCGCCCAUCUGGCGGGUGCAGAAGGCGCUGCUGCAGAAAUUCACCCCCGAGAUCAAAGACGGGCAGCGGCAGUUCUGCGCCACCAGCAACGUGAGCGGCACCCCAAAAAAUACCUGGGGGACCCCAAAAACUCCGGGGGAACACCAAAAAAUACCAGGGGAACCCAAAAAAUACCGGGGGAACCCAAAAACCCACGGGGCACCCCCAAAACCAGCCUGGGAAACCCAAAAAA
rnacentral:lncRNA from 1 species